UGCAAGUCGUGCGAGAAAGUAUCUUCGGAUAUGAUUUAGAGCGGCGGACGGGUGAGUAACGCGUAGGAAUCUACCUAGUAGAAGGGAAUAGCCCGAGGAAACUCGGAUUAAUACCGUAUACCUCCUUCGGGAGAAAGAAGGCCUCUCUUUGAAGCUUUCGCUACUAGAUGAGCCUGCGUAAGAUUAGCUUGUUGGUGAGGUAAAGGCUCACCAAGGCGACGAUCUUUAGCGGUCUGAGAGGACGAUCCGCCACAGUUGGGACUGAGACACCGGCCCAGACUCC
rnacentral:rRNA from 1 species